UCACAGUUUGAUUCUAGCUGUAUUGUCUGUAUGUGUGAAAAACCAGAUACAUGCAAGAAAUUCCGUCCCCAUAAGUAGGGAGUAUGAAGCGCCCAGUAACUUAAAGUUCCCAGGUCUCUUCACACCUUCUCGCCGUUUCAGAUUCUAUUCAACAACGCGCAUCUAACUUUAUGCCUGCAGUACUAAAUUCUGUAACAAGUAAGGCAACUUAGCUUCGGUUAUUCACACCCUAGGACCGGUAAAAUUCGUGCCAGCGACCGCGGUUAAACGAAAUGUCCAAAUAGAUUAAACCGGCAUCUGUGGUAAGUGCCCAUAAUGACACUAAUAAAAAGUUCCAAGGGGUGCAAUCUGACCAACUAUAAUUUUUCCAUCCAAUGUCAUUUUCACAAACCCACUAAAGCUUAGACCAAAACCAGGAUUAGAUACCCAAUUAUUCUAAGCCUCUAACCAUUGCCAGGGUAGUACGGACACAUGUCUAAAACCCAAAGAAAUUGGCGGCAUUCUAACGUCUCAGGGGAAUCUGUCCUUUAAUUCGAUGAUCCGCGAAUAUCAUACUCUCUCUUGAAUAUACAGCCUAUGUAUUGCCGUCUUCUCUGUUGACCCCUCAAGGGAACAAAAGUCAGCUCAAAGGCCUAUUAAUUUUAAUAAGCCUCAAAGUCAGGUCAAAAUAUAGCCAAUGGGAGAGAAGAGAUGGAUUACAUUUACCCACAACGCCACAUCCCACAUGAAACCGUGGAAUAAAGCAGGACUUGAAAGUAAGAAUAAACACAAAAUAUUAUUCUGAAUUCAGCAUCUAGAAUGAGCACAAAUCGCCCGUCACCCUCGCCGAAAGGUGAGGUAAGUCGUAACAUAGUGGGCGUAACGGAAGUUGCGCCCAACACAAA
rnacentral:ncRNA from 1 species